UGGGGAAUAUUGGGGCAAUGGGGCGCAAGCCUGACCCAGCAACGCCGCGUGAAGGAAGAAGGCUUUCGGGUUGUAAACUUCUUUUAAGAGGGAAGAGCAGAAGACGGUACCAAAGGAGGAAGCCACGGCUAACUACGUGCCAGCAGCCGCGGUAAUACGUAGGUGGCAAGCGUUGUCCGGAUUUACUGGGCGUAAAGGGAGCGUAGGCGGACCUUUAAGUGAGAUGUGAAAUACCCGAGCUCAACUUGGGUGCUGCAUUUCAAACUGGAGGUCUAGAGUGUCGGAGAGGUAAGCGGAAUUCCUAGUGUAGCGGUGAAAUGCGUAGAGAUUAGGAAGAACCCCGGUGGCGAAGGCGGCUUACUGGACGAUAACUGACGCUGAGGCUCGAAAGCGUGGGGAGCAAACAGGAUUAGAUACCCUGGUAGU
rnacentral:rRNA from 1 species